AUGUCUCCAAACCAGCUCCAUUUCCAGGGGGUGCAAACAGUCGGCGGUGUGUUAACGCUCAGCUAUGACAUUGGGAGACCUCAGGUUUAGGUUAUUUAGACAUGUGGGAUGAGCAAGGAGUCCCCGCCCAUCCGAUGCUGGCAUCCAGGGCCGGAACCUUCAGAAGCGAGCCCACCCCAGCACCAGGGCAGUGUGGCAGUGUGGGGUCUCCUGGACGUUGGCUGCCCUCUCAUGACCGGGAUGGCAGUGCUCAGACAGGGCCAGGGUGGCCACACGCCGGGCCCCUGGGGGCUGGAAUGCAGUGACCUGGAGGUGGCUCUGCGCUGACACUGACCUCCAGACCUGGGUCACGGUCUGUCCCCAAAGCCACCGCUAACGGGACCACAUGUAUCAGUCAGGGACGGGGAGCAUCAGGGUGAAUUCCUGGUGGAUGGGAGAAAAUCGGACAUGAGACAGAGAAGGGCUCAAGCCCUGGGGCCUGGUGCUUGUCGACCGACACUUAUUCUGGAGCCAUAGCAAGACACUGAGAUGUCUUCAACUGGGGAGUGACUUCCUAGGGAUGUCCAGUUAGGAAGCUGCCCUGGAGACUGCGUGCGGAGACCAGGGGCCUGCUGCAGAACUGACGAGGAAAGCAGGGAGGAGGGUAUGGACAGGGACUGUUUCCCACGGAAGGCACUGCAGCACCCGGCACGAGCCCUUUCUGCCCCCUUUAUAAGUUGGCCUGCAUUUUUGUCACCCUUGGCGUCAACCCCAGCAUCUGAAAAGAGGCAGCUCUUCACCCCCGAGUAAACACGGCUGUGGGAAGUCAAGGUCCUGAUCGAUCCCAAGCUCCCACCCCAUCUACACCUCCAGCACAGUGCAGAUUCCUCUCCCCUGCCCCGCUGGAGAGGGCUCGCUCCCUCGUGUGCUGCCGCAGCCCCACGCCAGACCCCUUCCAGGGAACUCCAUCACCAACGCAGCGCUAUCCCUCGGCGGGGAACCUCGCAGAGAGGGAAAGCCAGAAAGAGCACGAGCAGGCCCAGAGGCACCCAGCAAACACUCAUGGUGUCGGGGUGCUAAGACCCCACACCAGGUGCCGUGAAGAACAAGGUAUGGCCCCACUCUUCAGUCCACUGGGGCUGUUGACACGAUGGCGACAGCAGUCCCCGUGGCUCCAUGCUGGCCGCUCCGUAGAUGUUUGUGAAUUAAGUAAUUAUCGCACACCGACGCUCAGCAUGUGACAACGGUAACGUCCUGACGCAAGGCCCUGCUUCACUACGGUUCACAGAGAUGUCGCAUCGCAGGCAGGCUGGCGGGGGGAGCUACGGACGUUUAAGGGAAAGGAGGAGACUAUUUCCCAGCCCCUCCGAUAGCAGAGGCGGGAUGUUGGCCAGAAGGAUACGCCCCGUCCAUGCCUGUCAACGCUAUGCAGCACUGCCUUCCUGGUGCUCGCUCUCUCUGAAGGCAGCAGAGCCACGAACGGAAGAAGACACCAUCCUUGAUGCAACUGCUUCAAAAGCUCAGCCAAGAAAGGCAUCUGACGUGCACGGAGCCGUGACGUGAGCCAGCAAGAAACUUCUGCUGAGGCUGGACUUGGAGCCUGUAGAGACCUCGAGGUCAGUCUGGGUGUGGCCAGCAGAGUGGCGACGAGGAAGGGGUUCCUGGGAGGCGAACACCUCGGCCCCAGGCUGGGUGGCCUGUCAGUGGAGUCUCAGCAUGUCCUGAUGCACCGGUGGCUGGUGUCCCUCACCCCAGCCUCUCCGGUUAUCACGUCUCUCUCCCGCCUGGGGUGUGCAGAACGAGGACCAAGAGUUCAAGGUCUCUCUAGUCAAGGCAGCUGCUUACCUCUCCAACCUACCUGUCCGUGUCAGACAGGUUUGCCUGGAAAAGGAUUUUAUGGCCUCAGAGAUGUAUCUGGAAGUAUGCUCUGACAGUUGUGUCUUGUGGAUGCUGUAGUGGUCUGUGUCCUUUCUGUCUCAGGGCAGAGGUCUGGUCUGGACCGUGGUUCCAGCUCCUGCCUGGAGUCCUUCAUAUGUGCCCGCCUUCCAAACCUGGCUCUCCCAGCUUCCUGGGCUUUUCUGUGAGCCAUUAGGUACCUAUUCACUACAGCUCCUGUCUGGCUACAUCUCAUGUCACCAGUUUCCCUUGGAUGCCAUCGAGUACUUUGCCAGAUACAAAAAUUGGUACCAAGGGAGUUUCUAGACAAUAGACUAGAGAAAUGACAAAAAUUAGGAGUUGGUAUUUGGGCCUGUCGUGGUUAGCUAAUAAACAGUCUACCGGUGGGGGGCCUGGGUGGCACAGCCGGUCGAGCAUCCGACUCUUUGAUUCCAGCUCAGGUCAUGAUCUCAAGGUCGUGAGAUGGAGCCCCUCAUUGGCAUCCACGUUUAGCAGGGCUGCUUGAGAUUCUCUCUCUCCAUCUUGCUUCUGCUUUUUCUCUCUCUCUAGAAUAAAUAAAUGAUUAAAAAAAAUUUUUUUAACCCAAAUAGUCUGUUGGUAUUGCAAGAGGACUGUGACAGCACAUUAUAGAGCACCUAGAGAAAUGAUGAAUUGUAGUCACCUAGAACGAAAUGCGUGUCACGGCCAAGGCUGUGGGAGAAACAGAGGUCACUGUGCAGGUGUAUUUGAGAGCACAAGGAGUUCAUCAGAGGCUGCCUGGAUGCUCAUAAUAGUGUUGGUUAGUCUCAUUCGCUAAAAGAGAAAGAAAAGUCCACAUGCAUAAAUAUUUUGGUUAAGACAUGGGCAGAGUACCAAGGCCUUUAAACCACUAAUCUGACAGAAUCAUUGGCCCAGUGCAGCCGCAGGGACGUGUUGGCUACCACCCAGCACACUUCAGUCCAGCAGGUGCCAGUGGGCCAGACGCUGCAUUGAUGUUGAUGUCGGGUCCUUCACAUCAGUGGCAAGACAUGAACUGGGAAGCUACGAGACUUGGAGAAUUGGAAUGAACGCACCCAAGAGGAUGCGGACCACUCAGAGUAUCUUCAGCCCUUCCCCUCCCCUAGGCCUCCCCUGCCAGCCAAGUUGUGUCCUCCUAAUCAUUUAGGGGGACCAUUCCUGCCUAAGUUGAAAACACUGGAAACACCUCAGCAGAAAGAGGUUCUUUGCAGUGGGAUGACACUGUGUCUCACAUCCCAGCAUCGCCGGCACUGUUUGUCUACAAAUCUAUAACAAGGGUCAGAUCCCAAUCAGCUCCAGGGCAGGAUGACUAUAAACACAAAUUCUGGAAGAAAAUCGUCAAAACUAACGUAAUUGCAAGUCUUGGCUAAUUUAUUUUGGUGAUGAUAAUUUGCCAGUUUAUCCUCUGAGAGGCUUAGACUAUAAGCCAGCAAAUACUGUCUGCUGGCCAAGA